UCGCACGAGAAAGGGGAGCAAUCCCUGAGUACAGUGGCGUACGGGUGAGUAACACGUGGAUGAUCUACCUUCUAGUGGGGAAUAACCCUGGGAAACCGGGGCUAAUACCGCAUAAGCUCGAGAGAGGAAAGCAGCAAUGCGCUGGAAGAGGAGUCCGCGGCCGAUUAGCUAGUUGGCAGGGUAAGAGCCUACCAAGGCAAAGAUCGGUAGCCGGCCUGAGAGGGCACACGGCCACACUGGCACUGAAACACGGGCCAGACUCCUACGGGAGGCAGCAGUGGGGAAUCUUGCACAAUGGGGGAAACCCUGAUGCAGCGACGCCGCGUGAGCGAUGAAGCCCUUCGGGGUGUAAAGCUCUUUCGGCAGGGAAGAUGAUGACGGUACCUGCAGAAGCAGCUGCGGCUAACUACGUGCCAGCAGCCGCGGUAAUACGUAGGCAGCGAGCGUUGUUCGGAGUUACUGGGCGUAAAGGGUGUGUAGGCGGUUGUUUAAGUUUGGUGUGAAAUCUCCCGGCUCAACUGGGAGGGUGCGCCGAAUACUGAAUGACUUGGAGUGCGGGAGAGGAGAGUGGAAUUCCUGGUGUAGCGGUGAAAUGCGUAGAUAUCAGGAGGAACACCGGUGGUGUAGACGGCUCUCUGGACCGUAACUGACGCUGAGACACGAAAGCGUGGGUAGCAAACAGGAUUAGAUACCCUGGUAGUCCACGCCCUAAACGAUGCAUAUUUGGUGUGGGCAGUUCAUUCUGUCCGUGCCGGAGCUAACGCGUUAAAUAUGCCGCCUG
rnacentral:rRNA from 1 species